rnacentral:rRNA from 1 species
UACGUAGGGGGCAAGCGUUGUCCGGAUUUAUUGGGCGUAAAGAGCGUGUAGGCGGCCAGGUAGGUCAGCUGUGAAAACUCGAGGCUCAACCUCGAGACGCCGGUUGAAACCAUCUGGCUAGAGUCCGGAAGAGGAGAGUGGAAUUCCUGGUGUAGCGGUGAAAUGCGCAGAUAUCAGGAAGAACACCCGUGGCGAAGGCGGCUCUCUGGGACGUGACUGACGCUGAGACGCGAAAGCGUGGGGAGCGAACAGG